GAUCCUUGAGCAAGAGCGGAAAAGUGUCUGUCGUCGUCAGUGUGUUGUCAGCUGUCAUCGCAAUCGACUCUUAGUUUCCGUACAUUUCUCCGUCGCUUUUCUUCUCUAUUUCUUUCCCCAAAGAGCCUAGAAUAAUGGCCACGCCACAGCCACAGACUGAGGCACCAUGGUGGAUGAAGUAUGGUGCUCGUGGAGUCGGAUGUGGAGGAGGAAUAAUUGCGAUGGGUCUGGGUGUCUUCAACUGCAUCACCAUAUAUCCCAUAUGUAUCGUGGCAGGAAUUUGGCAAAUGUUGGCAGCUUUCAUCGUGAUCUCAGCUGAGGCUCCAUGUUGCUGCAUGUUUGUGGACUUUGUGCAGCAGUACUCCAUGUGGGUUGAGGGGCGCCCGCACUGGCAGAAGGCCGUCUUCUACAUAGUCAUCGCAUUGCCGGCAGUCAUUUUGUGCCCCGGGCUGUCUACCAUAUUUGGCUCUGGCCUUAUCUUCCUCUCUGGGGUCCUGUAUGGGCUAAUGGCUCUCGGGAAGAAGGGUAGCCGGGAAGACAUGAUUGCUGCUGCCCAGCAAAACACGGGCCCUGUCAACUCCCAAAGCGCCAUCCUGGUGGACGACCCCGAGGCCUGGCGUUCCACCUGAGCGCGCUCACGGUUCCGUAGCAAGCGACACCCAGCGUUCCCAUAACUAACCACUCACAUAGGGUCCAGGGAAGAUAUGAUGGCAGCAGCACAGAGUACAAGGCCAGGCAACAUGAAGGACAUCUUAGUGGAUUCCGAGGCUCCUCCCUCGAGCGCUUAAGAAAUACACACCAACCCCUCGUACACAAACCCCCUUCUGUGCCAUGUGGGAGUACUGACACACGCAAACAGUCAUGAUUGUUAUAGAUGAGCUGCCUGGGUUUUAUGUUGAAAGGAAGGUGACUCUUGUCAUUAUCUUUUUUUUUUUUCUUCUUCUUCUCCUUCUUCUUCUUCUUCUUCAGAAAGUGAUUUUAAAUAUGGACAUAUUUCUCGGUUCAAAAGGAGAAUUGGAAUGUCGUGUUAUAUCAAAUACUUUUAAGAGAUAAUGUAUGACUUGGCAUGGAGUUAUGAACAGUACCAUAGUCUGGCUACUUGAAAAUUGUACUUAGAUUUCAUGCUCUCCCAAAGCAGUAUUUAACUGUCAAACAAUUAUUAGUUUUAAUUAUUCUUUCAUUUGCUUGUCCUAUUAGAAAAAAAAAGAAAUAAAAAAAAAGGGUGGGGGAGGGGCAACUCGUCUUACUUUCAAAGUUCAUAGAUGUAAGCCUUUUUCUUGUUACAUUAUGAAGUACUGAAUCAUAAAAGAGUGUUGUGAGGUUUUUCCAGCUGUUCUCUUCUAUAGGCAUGUAUGGCAUGUUCUCAUAAGACCCUCUUUGAACACCAAUUAAAUGUCCCAUACCUCAGGCAGUUGGAGUGAUGAUGAUGAUUAUGACAAUGUUUGUUUACUAACACUGAGCACUUUUUUCAAUUUGUAGAAGCUUUAACUAAAGUGUUUAAACUUGGUAUAGGAGACUUUUUGGUAAUUUUUAAUAUGUAGGACUUGUAUUUUGUAAGGCUGCCGUGGGAUGCUUGUGAGGAUGCCUCCAGGACCUUGUGAAGUUUGUGAUUUUCUUUCUCUUUUAUUCUUUUUGUUCUUCCAUUGAUACUAGAGUAAGAAGAAAAUGCUUACUUCUUAGGAAAUUUGAAUGUGCAAUUGUUAAGAUUUGUUUUUAUGUUUAUAUGUAAGGACUUUAAGGCAAGAUAUAUGGAAACAGUAGUUGACUAUAAACAUAUGUAAAUCUUAACCAUAAGAUUAGUUGCUUCAUUGCAUCUCAGAAAUCCUCACACAUAUAUAUAUAUAUAUAUGUUUCCUUUUCUUGGUUGAUAAAUAAAUCAAGUAUGUCAAAUAAAGAGAGUUGUCUGCCUUUCUGUUUUGUUUUAGCUAUUUGGUUAUAAAAACUGGGACAUCAAUAAAUGGUGUACAAUGCCCUACCUUUGCACAUGUAUCCUUCUGGUUUAGAGAUAACAUGUUAUGAUUCUCAAAUAAUUUUUAAAGGUUAUUGUUAUGAAGUGGUUGCCUGAAAGUUUCAAUCAGUCCAAAAAUGAGCAGCCUUGAGCAUUUUCACCUGACGUUACAUUCCAAAGCAAGAAACGCCAUCAAAGAAAAGUUUGAGGUAUACUUGAAUGUUGAUAAGCUAAUUAUAUAUAUAUAUAUAUAUAUAUAUAUAUAUAUAUAUAUAUAUAUAUAUAUAUAUAUAUAUAUAUAUAUAUAUAUAUAUAUAUAUAUAUAUAUAUAUAUCUUCUGCCUUAAACUAGUAAGAAUCUUGUAAUAGUCAAUAGCAAACUUGUUUAUUACACAUUCUCAUUAUUUGGGUUGAUUUAUGGUCAUGAAAGGCUAAAUAUUGCUGGAAACCUGUCUAACAGUGUCGUUGCUGUUUUCAGAGUGCAAGUGGAUAUUCUAGUAUGUCUGGGAAGCUUUAAGAUUUCUGUAAGUGCAGAUCCAUUACAGUGUCUUUAUGUGAAUGGUUUAAAACUGAAGCUACUAGCACCUUAACAUAUUAAAAACAACAACAAAACUAAAUGGUAACUUGUUAUUUUGGAUUUGUUUUGAGAACUUUGAUGAUGAAAGUCUAUGUAUGUAUUGUAUAAUUCAUUUGACUCUUCAAAGAAAAGGAAGAAAAGAAGAGAAUUCUGAUGCCAAAGCACUUUUAAGAUUAAGGACUGGAACUAAAGGCAGAAAACCAUUACAUUGUAAGUUGGUCAUGGGACACAGAAUUUUAUGAAGUUUGUAAAUCAUUUAUGCAUAGAAUAAUGGACAAGGACUUCUGUUUCCACUUUCACCCAUUCCGCAUUCGUUAACAGAUUAUAUUUUGUUAUAAAUGUUUUUCCCUAUUCUGUUACUCUUCCACCCUCAAUAUUAAGCAGUGAAUAUGACAAUUAGGCAAGUUUCAUCUAUGCUGUAAUCCAUAUACAUAUCGUACAGUUGUGACCUUUAGUUUGUUUGAAAAAGGUAAGAGUAAAGUAUUAUAUGGUAUACAUUACCGAGUAACACAGGAUCACUGCCGUUUUAGAGUAACACUUGUCAGGUCGUUAAGUGGGUGUGGCAUUUGAAUGUCAUAAAUGUAAAAUUUAAAAAUAGAUGAAAAUUUAGAUAUCAAUGUUAUAAAUUUAUUGUGUAUUCGUGUUCAAAAAGAAAAAAAAAAAAAAGUUAAGCAAUUAAAAACAACAUAGUUUUUCAUUUUUAAGCAGUCCCUUCUUAUUUAGUAAACAAAGCCAUUCUGUUUCCAAAUCUUCUAUUAUUGAUUGCGUAUUCUCAAAUAGCACAGACUUGGCCAUGUGUUUCUUAGUCAGUGAUUGGUUCGUGGUCUUAAAGAUGUGUCUGAGUGGUCUUUGAUACCAUUUUCAUUAGGUCUUGAGCCACUUUGCUGUUUCCAUUUUUUUUUUUCUUUUAUCCCGUUCUUCCUCCUUCGUUCCUUCCAGUUCUUACUGACAGAUUUCAAUCUUUUUGCACAUUCAUUUUUUCCUCUUCCCAGUUGUUGAUUCCACUAAGUCUGUUCAAUGCCUUUUUAUAAUUUUCAAUCUAUGGUUAAUGAUUGUGUAUACCUGGGCUUAUAGGAAGGGUCCAUUCAUAUAUAAUCUGUGGAAAUGUUGAUUGUAUGAUGUGCUUUUGUAGGCGUUUUAUCUGAUAUUGUAAAGAUAAUGUACAUUUGUGAGAGCCUAGAAUUGGUGUAAAUAAGUUGUUAGUUAUUGGGUACAUAUGGCAAUUUAGUUCAGGACUCAUAGGGUUGCACCAAAUUUGUACUUUUGAAAGUAUAUAGUAGUCAUUCUUGGAGGAAAUUCAAUUAUGGUCUUUGGUAAUGUCUCUGAAUAAAAUGACAUCUCCAUUACCUAUCUCCUGAAUAAAUUUGUCUUUGUAAUUUGUUAAGAAGCAUCUGUGUAAAUGUGAUUUAUGUUGUUUUGCUGGAUCAUAUGUUUAUCUCGUAUGAUAUACUUCAAUUUGGAUGUAAUUUUAAUUUGAAUGAUUAUCAUUAUUAUUAUAUAUAUAUUUUUUACAUCCAUAUCUCUAUCUACCCUUUUAUGUUGAGGUAAGUUGGUUUCUCAAAGUGACUUAGAAUUUCUCUAUAAUGUGUUCAGAAUCAAAAGUUAUUUGUAGUCAUGAAGAGAUCUCAAGGUGGUCUUCAGAGAAUCUCAGUUUUGGCUGGACUGCCUUUGCACCAGAGUCUAGAUUUACCAUCUGAGAGACUCAAGAUCUUGCAAUGCCUCUUUGUGGUAUUGUUCAUUACUGUCUGUCCUCCAGAGUGUGUGUAUUUAUGUAAAGUCAUCUAGUGGUACCCAAUAAACAAGAAAUUUC
rnacentral:misc_RNA from 1 species